UAGCCAAAGUCCAUAUGAGUA
rnacentral:siRNA from 1 species